CCUUUCUUAGAUAUAUUAUGUGCAAUGUCAAGACUACUUGUUUCGAGAGUAAACCACCUUAAAGAUCAUGUAUCUUGAACCUCUUGACUCACUUGAAUAAAAAGCCUUCCCUUACCCAACCAAAUGAUUUGGACCAAUUGACCAUUUACAAGAAUUCACCUGAUGUUUUAUGCUUAAUGAAUUUGAGAGUUGGUUGAUUUGAAUGUGUGGAUGCUUGAUGAUGAUUGUAAGGGCAAAAGGAGUUGAGAUAGGCCUAGAGAAGCUAGAGUGUAAUAAGAGAGUGUUCUAAUGUUGGAUUAGAUGUUGAAUUGAGUGCUAGAUGUGUUUCUUUUGGCUAUGAGCUCCCACCUUC
rnacentral:lncRNA from 1 species